rnacentral:lncRNA from 1 species
CUCUGGGACGGGGCAGGGGCUGUGGGCCCACAGCGAGGCCGGCUGUGCAGCUGGCUCUGAUCAAAGCCUUGCAGCACUCGCCGCGCCCGACAGCCCUGUUUACAUUAACUGGCGGGGAGUGGGUUCGGGUGGCAUUUGCUAACCUGGAUGUCGGUCCCAUCUGCCCGGGUAGCUUUGCUGCCUCCAGCCACAGCCACCUAAAUGCACUGGAAACUCCCUCCCUCUGGAGUGGUUGUUUUGCUAACUCUGACUCCCUGGGAGAUCUCGUUCACAGCAAAGUGUUGUUUCCUUUUUCCUUCUUCUAUAUGGGUGUGUAUGAGUGUGGCAGUGGGAGGCUGCCAAGCACAGGGGGACGUGGUCUUUGCCGAGCAAUUGGGAUAGCACCAGCACACGAGAUAGAAGUUCAGGAAGUACUACCCUGCAAAACCCUUCACGCAGCCUUAACGUGAGGAAUGAUCUGCAAUUGGUGGGAAGUCGGGGGACUUACAGCAAGGUGCAGAGCUGAGCUGGAUCUGCUGAUGGAGUCAGUCUCUGGGAGGUGUGUGUACACAAAACAUGGGUCAUGCAGGAGGCCAGGGAGUGGUGCAGUGUUUGUAUGGGGCUUCGAGGUGCUGGGGGAAAUGCUGAGAGGGAUUUGGGAGCUGCUGCGGUGCUGGAGGUCAUCUCAUAGGAAAUGACUACCAUGAAUUGGUGUUCCUUGGGAUGAAGAGGUCGUGCUGUGAUGCCCAAGCAGUGUGAACACCAGCAGCCUUGCUGCAGAAUUUCUCUUUGGUGAUAGCAGUAGUUUUGAUGGGGAAGUGAUGCGUGGGGACAUUGAGAGCAUGGUCGUCACUGCUGCUGGUGUGGUGUUUUGGCCUUGGAGAAAAUGGUACUCAUACAGUGCUGCUCUCAGCUUUCUGCCUGCAGCAAAGGGAACAAGUGCUUUAUAAAUCCCUGCUUUGGUCCCAGCUUCUUCAAGUGACCUUUGUGUGUCUGCUUACUUUUGGUAAAAUGGAGGCAGUAAUGUCCAAUUGCUUUUUAGAAUCACAGAAUAUCCCGAAUUGAGAGGAACCCAUAAGGAUCAUUAAGUCCAACUCCUAGCCAGUCUCUUUGAGGAAACCAGAGUUUUCUCGUGUGUGAGAGUGCAAGAGAAAGCAAACCCACAUGGGAAGGAGCUACGCUUUGAGGAACAUCCUGAUUGCAGAAGGACGCAAGGCUCUGUUAAAGCCCAGGGCCAGGUUAGAAGCUCACGGUGUGAAACUGCCUUAAUGCAGAUAAUCAUGGAUGAAAAGGCAGCAUAGGGUGGGAAGCAGCCUGACAAGAAGGCUGUAAUGAUGUAACGGUAAUAUGACUGGGCCAGAAGGAAGUGGUAUUAUUGGGCUAAAUUCUUUCUACUUUGAAGAGGCCAAAGCCACUUCUCACAUGAUUGGAUUCCACCUCCAGGGUCUUGAAUUUGCCAGACAGCAAACACACCAAAGGGACCUGGCUUUGCCUGUUGGACGCACAGCACCCACCAAUGAGUGGGUGACAAACUGCACGUUUCCAGGGCUGUGGUUUUCUGGGCAUCUGCAGCUGCCCGUCACUCUUGCAAACUGUCGCCGUUGAUUUUGCAGAACGUCAUCCGUCGUGUUUCCUCACGCUCCUUGGAAUGCACUAAAUAACCAAAAGAGCAGCUGACAAAAUAAAUGAGCAAAGUGGGGUUUUUUGUUGUUGGGUUUUUUUGUUUUUUGUUUUUUUCUUUUUUCAGAGACAUUGCACAAAGGGCAGGAUGGGCUGUUUGGGACGUGCCACUUCUGCCCAUUUCAAACGCAGACUUCAUCAGGGCAGCUGGCAGAAGGGAUGGCUCCAGUCCUUCGUGCUCACAGACGGUUUGUUCCGGACCUGGCUCUGGCUGAACCCUGGUGAACUUCCCCCGCAUCCCCUUCCCCGCCGGAGAGCUUGCAGCCAUGAACUUCCCGUGCCUGACCCAAGCAUCUCCGAGAGGUGUGAUCUGAGCUGCAGCCGGAGGAAGGAGAUGGUCGACCCGCCCCUGGCUCCCGCUCAGCCUCCCUAAUCAGCGCAGGAAUGUCUCUGGAUGGCCAUGCAGCAGACAUAUAUUUCAGUGGAGGUGGCAAAGAGUAAGGGGGAAAUGUGGAAUGAUGCAGGAGCUGUAUAAUGGAAUGGAACAAAAUUUCUGGUACAUACGUAUGUUUAUAUAUAACAUCAUGCAGAAAGACCCUAUGCAAGGAGUAUGGAAGAGAGGAUGGAUCUUGCUGCUCAUGCCCCAGACCAGCCUCCUCCUUGUUGCAGACUGUAAUAAGCCAUCGCUGGAGGAUGGUAGAGAGGUUCUUUGAAAAUCUCUCCAAGAUGCUUCCAAUAAAAGAAUUGUGAAACUAUUCCCAUCGGUGGCCUGUCCUCUACCCACAACAGUGACAGAGAAGACUGUUUGAUUUCCAUCAGCAGAAUAAUAUGAGUGUGGACGCCACUGCCACAAAUUUAAGAAGGAUCUCCAGUUGCUGCUUGCCAAAGAAACAGUGCAUGGUCUGGGGGUUUUCAGCCCUCAAGUGGAGAUGCCGCUGGUGUGAUGACAGCUUGAGCAGCAUGAAGCUCCAGAAGAGCUUGAACAGAAAGGGCUGUGUCUGCAAAGAGGUGGGUCAGCUGUGUCUCUGGAGAGCUGCAUGCAGAGCCAGACCCGACCUCUUCUCAGUGAGGUGGAAGCAAAUGUUGGUGCUUUGGGUCUGUCCACAUCUACAAGCAUGCGUGAGGUCCCUUGCUGUGGUUCAGCUGAUGUGGGGCAUCUUGCUCAACAGUUCGAGAGUCUCAGCUUGCAAAUAUUGAAGGAGAUAAAUGGUUAAAAGAAAACUAAAACAACCAUACCCAAAAUAAACAAACCAACCCCAAACAAACAAAUGAAACCUCAAAACAAACAAAGAACUCAAAACAAACAACCAAAACCUUCCCUACCCCCUCUCCCCCCCAAAAAAAUGAAGGAAGGAACAAGGAACCCUGGUGAUCACAGCAGGAUCUGCAAGGCUCACACUGGAGAGGACAGGUAUGACAGGGGCACGUUUAGCACCUGGCUGCUCUUUACAUCACAGGGCAGAAAUAUGAAAAAUAUGAAAUAUGCAGCAGGGUUGGAUGAAAAGGAAAAUGUAAUGAGAGUAGGAGAAAGAAUGCCACAUGCUCCAACCGCAUCUGAACUUGGCAGCAGCAGCCCAGGGAAGCCCAUGUAAAUCCUAGAAGCAUGUUAAAGGCAUUUUCACCCCACAAAGACUGACAUGCAUGAAAAGUAUUGUUUCAACAAUGUCAGUCAAGAGCCUGGAGAAAUAAUUUGCUAAUAUACUGCCUAGAAGCCCAACAUGGCUAAUUGGAGGGAUGUUCACAUCUUGGAAUGGAGACUACUUGGGAACAGUCUUCCAAUGGGGUAACGAAGUGCAAAGAAGUAAAGGCUGUGUGAACAAGAUGGUGUGUCGAUGCUGCAUUUACACAGCAAAGUGAGAGAUUUCCUCAAGGAGCACAAAGAAAACAUGACAGCAGAGAGAAAACACAUGUACAUGAAGCAUAGGCAAUACAACGUAAGGACAGACUGAGGGAUGUUGUAGAGAAAGACAUAACUGAAAACGCUCGGAAUAUUGCCUAUGUCAUGUGCAAAGGAAGUUAUUAUCCAGCAGCACUGUGCCCAGGCAGAGCAAGCAUUCCUUCCAGUAAGGUUUAGGAGAUGAAUCCUCACUUCUGGGGGCAGCGUGGUCAUCCUUUGGGUUUCUUCUUGGCCUGUCCUUUGUGUACUGUAGACACAUCAAGAUCUGCAAAGGCUUAGCUACGCUGCUAUUUUUCCCUUAAAAAAUAUACUCUCUAAUUUAUUGAAUUACAGGAUACAUAUCAUUUUGCAUUAAAGGGGAUAUAGUGGAAUGCAUUCAUAUUCAAUUUGGCCGUUGCAGCAGAAUCACAGAAUCACAGAAUGGCCCGGGUUGGAAGGGACCUCCAGGAUCAUGAAGCUCCAAACCCAGCAGGAAAUACAACAAUAUCUUCCUAAAAUAAGGCAUUAUAAGUCUCUGUCAGCUCCCUCAAGUUGGCUUAGAAAUAGCUUAUGGACCCAUUUCCCCCAAAGAUCUGUGGAGGAUGGAUGAAUGGGAAGCAUCUGUAGGUGAGGAACUGUGUUACACAGGAAACAUUGCUCUGUCUUUAUGCUCAGCCUUUUUUUUCUUACAUUGCAGAUCUGAAAAGCCAUAAAGAAAAGUAUAAUUUGCCUGAUUCUUCUGGCUAGCUGGGAGAAUGAAUGAGCCCCACUGGUUCCUGAGGUGCAUUGGCCAUGCUGAUGGCAGGUUUGCUAAAUCUCAGGGGAGGGAUGCAGCUGUGACAGCGGGCAUCCAGGGUCAGGGGGGACACAUUUUGUCUUGGUGGAGCUUCAGCAGGUGGUGGAUUGAACCCAAGCAGGAUACGGAGGUCACAAGUCCAGGAUAACUUGCAAGUCCAACCCAAUCCAUGGGCAGUUCACCAGAGAACCAUGGAAUCCAGCCAUAAAGGCUGGAAAAGGCCUCUAAGAUCCCAAGUCCAACCCCAGCCCACCCCAUCAUGCCCACUAGUCAUGUCCCCCCAGUGCCACAUCUCUUGAUGAGAUCUUCCUGAACACCUCCAGGGAUGGGGACUCCACCACCAUCCUGGGCAGCUUCUUCUAAUAACUCACCACCCUUUGCACUACUUUCCAUUCUACUUCCAGUAAGAUAGAGACAGAAAGUGGAGCUGAGCCUACUGAAGAACGAAGGACAGCCAACAUGUACUAGGUGCUCAUGCUUGAUGCCUGCAGGCCAGACUUUCUCUUGCAUGUUUAAAUUGCCGUGGCUUUGAAGGAGGAGCUGUGCUGUGCACUGUCCCAGCACCCACCAGGACGUCUAUUGGGACAGCUGCUCUCCUAUCCGCCCACCAAAUGGCUGAAUUCUCCAGCAAGGACAAAGACCUUAUUUAUGCUCAUGCCUCUCAAAGUACAUAUAUUUUAGUCCUGGAGGAUUUACUGGCAAUAAAGUUUUCUUCUGAGAUUCCUAAAUCACGAGGUACUUAGGCUCUGCAGACCAUGAUGCCCAUGGACAAUAUUUGCUCUGUAGCUUGACACAUCUUUCUGCCUUAGAAUAACAGAAAAACAUGCAGCCAGGACCUGCCCAGCUGCGAGGACUCUAAAUCACCUGCUUUUUCUUUGUUUCCAGAGGGGCAGGUGCAGCUCAGAUUAUCUGCAAGCUAUUUUAUGACUUAACAACACGGGCUUUAAUGCAGUUAGAGAUGCCUUUAUUCAUUCUUACACUCCUGAGUAUUUUUGUGUAAACAUUUUUCAUCUGUGGCAAGCCAGUUUGUUUGUUAUGUUUUGUCAUGUCAGAGCAGACUGUGAUUA